GGCAGUGCCAUGCUCCACAAUGAUGAAGCCUUCAAGGGCUUCGAUCCUCUCUCGAGCUACUAGAAGCUUAGAUCUGCCUUGGGAGGCCUCUUCCUCAACUGCCUUUUUUGUCUCCUCAACGGCUUGCUUGGGUCUCAGAGGUCCGAAGUUUCUUCUCAAGCAAAAGCUUCACUAGGUUGAAUCCAAUGAGGUCCUCGCUAAGGAUA
rnacentral:lncRNA from 1 species